rnacentral:rRNA from 1 species
CAGUAGCCGCGGGAAUACGGAGGGGGCUAGCGUUGUUCGGAAUUACUGGGCGUAAAGCGCACGUAGGCGGCUUGGUAAGUUAGAGGUGAAAGCCCGGAGCUCAACUCCGGAAUUGCCUUUAAGACUGCCGAGCUAGCAGGUGAGAGAGGUAAGUGGAAUUCCGAGUGUAGAGGUGAAAUUCGUAGAUAUUCGGAAGAACACCAGUGGCGAAGGCGGCUUACUGGCUCAUACUGGACGCUGAGGUGCGAAAGCGUGGGGAGCAAACAGGAUUAGAUACCCGGGUAGUCCCUGUCUCUUAUAC